rnacentral:rRNA from 1 species
UGGGGAAUAUUGGACAAUGGGCGAAAGCCUGAUCCAGCAAUGCCGCGUGAGUGAUGAAGGCCUUAGGGUUGUAAAGCUCUUUUACCAGGGAUGAUAAUGACAGUACCUGGAGAAUAAGCUCCGGCUAACUCCGUGCCAGCAGCCGCGGUAAUACGGAGGGAGCUAGCGUUGUUCGGAAUUACUGGGCGUAAAGCGCACGUAGGCGGUACAUCAAGUCAGGGGUGAAAGCCCGGAGCUCAACUCCGGAACUGCCUUUGAAACUAGUGUGCUAGAAUCUUGGAGAGGCGGGUGGAAUUCCGAGUGUAGAGGUGAAAUUCGUAGAUAUUCGGAAGAACACCAGUGGCGAAGGCGGCCCGCUGGACAAGUAUUGACGCUGAGGUGCGAAAGCGUGGGGAGCAAACAGGAUUAGAUACCCGCGUAGUCC